GACGAACCGAGCGAACGUUGUUCGGAAUCACUGGGCUUAAAGGGCGCGUAGGCGGCUUUGCAAGUGGCGGGUGAAAUCCCUCGGCUUAACCGAGGAACUGCCUGCCAGACUGUGAGGCUUGAGACCGGGAGAGGUGAGUGGAAUUCCCAGUGUAGCGGUGAAAUGCGUAGAUAUUGGGAGGACCACCAAUGGCGAAGGCAGCUCGCUGGGACGGUACUGACGCUGAGGCGCGAAAGCGUGGGGAGCGAACAGG
rnacentral:rRNA from 1 species